rnacentral:rRNA from 1 species
UACGUAGGGGGCAAGCGUUGUCCGGAUUUAUUGGGCGUAAAGAGCGUGUAGGCGGCCAGGUAGGUCCGUUGUGAAAACUCGAGGCUCAACCUCGAGACGUCGGCGGAAACCCUCUGGCUAGAGUCCGGAAGAGGAGAGUGGAAUUCCUGGUGUAGCGGUGAAAUGCGCAGAUAUCAGGAAGAACACCCGUGGCGAAGGCGGCUCUCUGGGACGGUACUGACGCUGAUGCGCGAAAGCUAGGGGAGCAAACAGG